AGAACGAACGCUGGCGGCGUGGAUAAGACAUGCAAGUCGAACGGGACUUUUUUUGGUAGCAAUACUAGAAAAAGUCUAGUGGCGAACGGGUGCGUAACACGUGAGCAAUCUGCCGAUCUCUGGGGGAUAGCCAGCCUAACGGCUGGGUAAUACCGCAUACGCUCGUUGGGGGGAGUCCCCUGAUGAGGAAACCUCUGGGGGAGAUCGAGGAGCUCGCGACCUAUCAGCUAGUUGGCGGGUAACGGCCCACCAAGGCAGCGACGGGUAGCUGGU
rnacentral:rRNA from 1 species